rnacentral:lncRNA from 1 species
AUUUCCCUGGUUUUCUUUUGUUCCCUUUAAUAAUUUAAAUAUAUGAACAAGAUACACUGUUACUAUUUUCCAUGAUAACUUUUUAAAUAUCUCUGUGAGAAAUAACAGAGCUAUCCUGAGAACUCAGGGGUUUGUUUAAGAGACACAGGUUUUGUUAUGUUUGUUGCCCAGGCUAGUAUCCAGCUCCUAGGCUUAAGCAUACUCCCACUUCAGCUUCCCAAGUAGCUGGGACUACUGGCACAAAUCACUGGGUCCAGUUCUCAGUUCUUAAUUCCUACCUUUGUGUUUGCAAUUUAGGAUAUGCUGGCUGUACAGUGUUUCCAUGUUGUAGCCUCUUGAAUAAGGAAAAAUCUCAGCCACCAGGUCUGACCAAAAAGGUCAAUUCUAAGUUGUAAUGUUCAUUUCAUGUCCGCAACUCCCAAGAGUUAUUUGGAGUUCCCACUGGGAACCACAUGCAUUCUGAUCAGGCAUUUUAUUUUCUGAACCUUACAAGAGCCUUACUAUUUGAUUUCCCACUCCUCACUCCUCUCUUCCCACAAAAAGUAACUGUCAAUCCUAACUUGACCUGGCUUAGAAAAAUCAAGUGUAUUAGACUGAAUCAUAUGCAGUUGUUGAUUUUGACAGUUUUUGAUGUACAAAACUAGCAGUUUCUCAUAGCUCAACCUAGUAGCUUUCUUCUGAAUGAUAGGGAACCUCUGCCAUAAUGAGAUGAUUUUUUCCUUCAAGGAAAAGGAACCACUUAGCCACAUAAGUACUGAUAAGAAACAUGCUCAGCAUAAUUCCUCUGUAGCAUGACCUCCUGAGUGCUCAAAUUGUAUUAUACCAGGAAAUUUGGCUUAUUGUGAAGUUCAAUGGUUUUGAAUUUAUGGCAUUUUAAAUCUUAAUUAUCUGAGCUGCUAUCAUUUACCACUGAUGCUUUAGUCUCACAUGUGGAGGACAAGCAAUGUUUAGUGACCUCUUCACUGCAUCCCAUAGCACAUUCAAUGUCUGGGAAAUGUUCUUUGUUUGACAACUUCUGUACUAAAAGUGUUGCUGCAGUAGCUUUGUGCCCCUGUCAGUCUUGGUAGCC